GACGAACGCUGGCGGCGUGCUUAACACAUGCAAGUCGAACGGAAAGGCCCUGCUUUUGUGGGGUGCUCGAGUGGCGAACGGGUGAGUAACACGUGAGUAACCUGCCCUUGACUUUGGGAUAACUUCAGGAAAGUGGGGCUAAUACCGGAUAGGAGCUCCUGCUGCAUGGUGGGGGUUGGAAAGUUUCGGCGGUUGGGGAUGGAAUCGCGGCUUAUCAGCUUGUUGGUGGGGUAGUGGCUUACCAAGGCUUUGACGGGUAGCCGGCCUGAGAGGGUGACCGGCCACAUUGGGACUGAGAUACGGCCCAGACUCCUACGGGAGGCAGCAGUGGGGAAUAUUGCACAAUGGGCGGAAGCCUGAUGCAGCAACGCCGCGUGCGGGAUGACGGCCUUCGGGUUGUAAACCGCUUUCGCCUGUGACGAAGCGUGAGUGACGGUAAUGGGUAAAGAAGCACCGGCUAACUACGUG
rnacentral:rRNA from 1 species